AACACGGAAAAGUGAACAGACGCUCGGAUAGGGUUGCCUUGCUGAAGCAGGCAACAAAGAAACAAACGCGACGUCGGGGUAAUUCGCUGUAACGUUGAGCGUUCGUUGUGCGGCCGCCUUGAAGGAGACAUUUUCGCUUAAAAUACAUUUCCACACCUGUGAAAUAACAUAGCUGAUGUUUAGUUUGAGGAUAUAUCAUUUUCACCACAGAAACAUCAGUUCCUUUGAAACAAGUUAACUUCCUGAAGAUGUCUUGUUCUGGAUGAAGUUCCCCUGGAAGAGGCUGAACAGGAACUGGAGAGGAGUGCUCUUAAGCUGCAACUAUAUUAGAGGUCCCUCAGCUGUGUGACGUAGGAGCACUGCGUGAGGUCUGACACAAGCCAGCACACCUGUGUGUGAGUGUGUUCUGAAGGACGUUUGCUUGCCUUGAAGCAGCAGUGGCUGAAGAAAAUCACCCCAUCAAACCCACUCACCAUACACUCACACACACACACCCAAGCUGCUUUGAUGAGGUAACACUGGGCAGCGGAGGACACACCUACCCCAAGUAGCACCCUUCUCACCCUCCUUCCCUCCCUCCCUCUUUCCCUCUCUCUCCCCCUCCUCCCCCUCCUCCCUCCCUUCCCAUC